AAACUUCAUUGGCCCUUUUGAAAUCUCCGCCUUGGUCAAUCCUGUCUCUGUGAAGUUAAAACUCCCUCGCAAUAUGAGAAUCCAUGAUGUUUUCCAUGUUUCACAACUCAAACCUGUCCGGUCUAGUCCUCUGUGCCCUCCUUCCAGGCCCCCUCCUCCCGCCCGGCUCGUGGAUGGCUUGCCGGCCUACUCCAUCACUCGCAUCAUGGACUCUCGGCGCCGUGGGCGUGGCUGUCAGUAUCUGGUUGACUGGGAGGGUUAUGGCGUGGAGGAGCGCUCCUGGGUCCCUCGGGCGGCCAUUCUGGAUGUGCCCUUGCUCCGGGAGUUUCACCGCCUGCAUCCGGACAAGCCUGGUGGGUCGCCGGGGGGCUCCCGUUGAGGGGGGGUACUGUCAUGGUCUCCGCUCCUCGUCAGCUGACAGCCGUCAGGUGUUUUGUUUUUGUUUACCUUUCUCUCUCACCUCUGCUCUCCCUUUCUCUCUCGCCCUCUUCCAUUCUCUCUUUCUCCUGCCGGGGCGGAGCUCAGUAUGGGCUCCUGCCCCUGGCCUACGCACCUGGAGGUGAUCAGCACAUCUGUCGCUGAUCAUGAAAGAUUGGAACCCUUCUUAAGAGGGCGAGUCUGCUCUACUCGUCGCUGGAUCGUUGAGUCAUCAGCAUUGCCUCUGGACUUGUUCUUCCCCUGUGCCUGGCGACUGAACGGGAGCAAGAGAGAUAAAGGAGAGGAGAUGUGCUAGGACUGAAUGGAAACUUUCCCUUCCUGGACUCCUGCCUCUUUCACUCCUGGACCCUGGAACCCCGGCCCCUUUUUCCUUUGACACUAUUAUGUGUAUAUAUGAAUUCCACUGUAGGAAACACUGUAAAUAAAUGCACCUUUUGAAGACA